rnacentral:rRNA from 1 species
CUCGAUAGUGUGGUCCAUUCGCCUACCUCUGAAAAUCCGGAUCUUCAUGUGGCAAUGGAUUCGCGGUCGGGUUCCGUCCGGGGUUGAGGUCUGCAAACGAAAUGGCCCGGGCUCGGGCAUCUGCCCCCUCUGCGGUGUCCCCGAAGACUCGAAUCACAUCUUCUUCUCCUGCGUGUCCGCUCAGUUCGUUUGGAGCUGCUUUCGGGAAGUGGUUGGUGGCGAUUGGUGCCACAACAACUUCCCCGACUUAUUUGCCGAACUCCAGAACUCCCCCG